rnacentral:rRNA from 1 species
AGUGAACGCUGGCGGUAGGCCUAACACAUGCAAGUCGAACGGCAGCACAGUAAGAGCUUGCUCUUACGGGUGGCGAGUGGCGGACGGGUGAGGAAUACAUCGGAAUCUACUUUUUCGUGGGGGAUAACGUAGGGAAACUUACGCUAAUACCGCAUACGACCUACGGGUGAGAGCAGGGGAUCUUCGGACCUUGCGCGAUUGAAUGAGCCGAUGUCGGAUUAGCUAGUUGGCGGGGUAAAGGCCCACCAAGGCGACGAUCCGUAGCUGGUCUGAGAGGAUGAUCAGCCACACUGGAACUGAGACACGGUCCAGACUCCUACGGGAGGCAGCAGUGGGGAAUAGUGGACAAUGGGCGCAAGCCUGAUCCAGCCAUACCGCGUGGGUGAAGAAGGCCUUCGGGUUGUAAAGCCCUUUUGUUGGGAAAGAAAAGCAGCAGGUUAAUACCCCGCUGUUCUGACGGUACCCAAAGAAUAAGCACCGGCUAACUUCGUG